rnacentral:rRNA from 1 species
GGGGGACGAACGUUUCGAAAUGAACGCUAAUACCGCAUACGUCCUACGGGAGAAAGCAGGGACCUUCGGGCCUUGCGCUAUCAGAUGAGCCUAGGUCGGAUUAGCUAGUUGGUGAGGUAAUGGCUCACCAAGGCGACGAUCCGUAACUGGUCUGAGAGGAUGAUCAGUCACACUGGAACUGAGACACGGUCCAG